rnacentral:rRNA from 1 species
UACAGAGGGUGCAAACGUUGUUCGGAAUUACUGGGCGUAAAGCGCGUGUAGGCGGUUCGGCAAGUCGGGUGUGAAAGCCCUGGGCUCAACCCAGGAAGUGCACUCGAAACUCCCGAGCUAGAGUCCUGGAGAGGAAGGCGGAAUUCUCGGUGUAGAGGUGAAAUUCGUAGAUAUCGAGAGGAACAUCGGUGGCGAAGGCGGCCUUCUGGACGGCGACUGACGCUGAGACGCGAAAGCGUGGGGAGCAAACAGG